rnacentral:tRNA from 1 species
GCAGGUGUGAUUCAAUGGCAGAAUGUCAGCUUCCCAAGCUGAAAACGAGGGUUCGAUUCCCUUCACCUGCUCCA